UACGAAGGGGGCUAGCGUUGUUCGGAUUUACUGGGCGUAAAGCGCACGUAGGCGGAUCGUUAAGUCGGGGGGUGAAAUCCUGGAGCUCAACUCCAGAACUGCCUUCGAUACUGGCGAUCUUGAGUCCGGAAGAGGUGAGUGGAACUCCUAGUGUAGAGGUGGAAUUCGUAGAUAUUAGGAAGAACACCAGUGGCGAAGGCGGCUCAGCUGGUCCGGUACUGACGCUGAGGUGCGAAAGCGUGGGGGAGCAAACAGG
rnacentral:rRNA from 1 species